GUGUUUUUCAUAGUAUUAGAUAUAAGAUUAAUUAAAAGAGAUUGUACUCCACUUGUGAAAGCUAAAGUACGUCAGAGACAGAAGAGUCUGUUUUUUUGAUAAAUGUGUUAGAGCAUCGGUUUUACCAGGCCGAUGCUUUUUUUAU
rfam:Bacteroides caccae CAG:21 genomic scaffold, scf164